GCGGGAGUAGUUUAGUGGUAGAACGUUGGCUUCCCAAGCCGAAGGCCGCGGGUUCGAAUCCCGUCUCCCGCUCCA
rnacentral:tRNA from 1 species